GGCUUUAUAGUCAAUUUAUGAUAUUAGACUGCAAUUCUAAAGUAGAUUUUAAAAUCUAAAGCUU
rnacentral:tRNA from 1 species